rnacentral:misc_RNA from 1 species
GUAGAAUUGAUCACAAUGAGGAGUUCUUCACCUUUAAAUUCAAGUAAAGGGGGUAUGAUAAUCGACCUCCUUCUUUCUUGGUGUAUGCACCUUGUAGAACGGCAGUGGUCUAUGCUCUAGCCGGAACCUCUUGAUGGAUAAGCUUAACUGUGCUCUUUCUCUCGAAUUUCAUGUCUGGAAUCGAAACCAAGACCAACAAGCCCUUGAGGACUUUGAAUUGAGGAUCAUUAGAAUAGGAUAACCUUUCGUCACUGCUGAAUCGAACUAACUGCCAACAAGAGCAAUAAGAUGGGCCCUCUUCUAUUUAAUAUAUUAAAUUCCGAGAAUUAGCAUAUAGUGAUGUUCGAAAACCCUGUGCCAG